CUUUUCCUUGUUAUGCGUAAACUUCAUAUGAGGAAGUGCUUGAUCACAUGAUUAUUUGUUUGACGACUUUUUUGUCAAUAUUCUAACAUAGCCUGAUUGCUUAUAAUUGCUGCCUUUAUUAGCAAGUAAGUAGAUACAUCAAUAUCUGUCAAUGUCUUUCAAUGUCUCAGUAUCUUACAGCUUGAAUAUCAAAACAAACAAAAAAUGAAAAUGAAGGAGUAAAAAUUGUUUCUUUUCGAUUGUUGACAGACUUAGGACUAAGCAACAGCUUCUAAGUGAUGUUGGUUUUGUAUGAAUUAAUCCUCUGUCGUCCACAAUAUGGUUGCCACCAAAUAUACCAUAACAGAGUGAUUAUGUAUAUGUUUGAAAUCACUUGACUAUUUAUUUGUCAACACCAAAACAAGCGACAAUAUCCUUGUAUAUAUUAUUACGACAGUUUUUGAUACACCCGGCUGAAUUGCGAUGCAAUUUAUUUGAUCAAUGUGAAGUGAUUCCUGCAGUCCUUGAUAAACAGGAUUUUAAAGGCGGAAAUCAAUCAAACAUAAUAUAUCUUUGCCAAAAUUGUACAUUUUCAUAGGAUUUUUCUUUUUAACAAAUUGUAGAUGGUGAGAUGAGUGUCUUCUUCGUUACAGCUAUUUUUCUGUUGACGCCAACAGCUGAGUAAGUAAUGAAGAUACUAUCUGUACAUUAUGUAAGAACCGAGUUCAACAAAAAAAAAAUAACCCUUUAAUCCAUUGGCUCCAGUUUUGACGUUUUGAUGUCACAAAGUAGUAUGUUCAUCUUAGUUGACUAUUUUUAAAUAUAAUCAAAAAAGUUCAUGAACUUGAUUAUAUUGAAACAUAAACAGUUUUGAGUUUGUGAUCCUCUUCAAUCGCUUACGUAUGUGAAUAAAUGCCGAACUUGCAUUGCUAUUUGUUUGCUUCUCUAUCUGCCUCCCUGCUUGGUUUAAAGUAUUGUAAUAGGUGAGAAGGCCAUUUUCUUUAUACAUAACAAUUGACUUCUAACGUAUCCAUGAAUAUGAAAAAUAUCAUUAUUCUAUCAAAGAAAUAAAAGCAACAGUAGUAUAUACCGCUGUCCAAAAAUAAGAGAAACAAAAUCCGGGUAAUAAACUAAACGAGGGAAACACAUUCAUCAACUAUAAGAGGAAAACGACGGCGAUGAGAUGUACAUUAGACAUAAGUCUCACUUAUAUCAGGAUUUACAUUCUUUAAUGUUGUUAUGCGUAUUUACUUUAGGGCUUUCGGUGCUAAAUGGGACCACUUCACAUUCACACAAGAAUGGCCACAAACAGCUUGCCUGAUGGGCAAGGCAGAGGUAUUUAUUUCAUAUAUGCCAUAUAACCCGUUCUAUUUAUAUAUAUAUAUAUAUAUAUAUAUAAUUAAUAUUUCAAUAAUUUUGAAAAGUGAUCUUGAAAAAUGAGAGGAAAGAGGCGCCACAUAAAAAAAACUGCUCCAAAUUUAAGAUUGCUUUGGAAGAACAUUACACAAAUAUAAUUAAGGGGUAUGGUUGAAAUAUCAAUUAUACAAUUAAAGAGAGGGCAUACCUGUCGAGAAAAUAUAUAAAAAUCUUCAAUUUUGAAACGAGAUUCCCAAUGAUUAUAUUGGUCAAACUUAUUUUUAACUGGCCCCGAAAUUGUUGAGUGUAAAUGUUCACGAUACCUAAUUGAUGCUAAAUAAUACAAAAUCUUGUCCGGAUAUAGUACAAGAUAAUCACUUUUAAAUGUUUAAACCUGCUAGACUAUAACGAAACCAAAGAAGUAACAAUAUCAUCAUUGCAGGUCGUCUUCCUCAUUCAACCCGGAAAACUUCCCAAUCUUGUGAAGUGUACUGGUAUUCUCGAACGAAAAACACAUUUGAUUGAGCUGUCAAAACAGUAGAUAGCUCUGCAAUAGCAGUAUUAGUUUAUCUAUUAGACUAAGUAUUCAUACUAACCGUACAUUUAAAGAUAACAAAAAGAUCACGAAAUAUGAACAUCUUCGAAUUAAGCUUCUGAAUCAGGUAAAUAAAUAAACUCAUCCUAGAUACCAGGAUUAAAAUUUUGUAUUUGCGCCAUUUUUUUCUCCAUCAGUCUUUAAUAAAUAUGCAUUUUUCACCUUUACAAAUAAAGAAAAACUUGGCACUAGUAAAGUUUUAUCCUGUCCAAUACUUCAGUGAACAUUUCAUAUACCAUUUCAUUGCAUUUAAGGAAACAACCAUCACGGGAAGUAAACCUAGCAAAUUAUCAAGGGUAUAAACUAUUCUGUAUCUAGUAUAUUCUUAUAUGGUCUCAAUUUAAGCAACACAUUUUUAACACAAAGCUGAAGAAAAGCUGGUACAAUUUUGCUUUUCCAGACGUAAGCUCAAUUUUCAAGCAAGGUAUUUUUAACAUACAUAGCAAAACAUACAUGAGCAGUGAUCGACUGGUUGUAUAUAUUCAAGAUAAACCGAAGAACGAGUUAUUUUUGUUUAUUUCGGAGCUAGCGAUGUGAGGGAGUGCAUGUCUGCAGCUCAUGCUUGUCUGCCAUUUUCAGUUGAAUUUUUUAUUGCGUAAUAUUAAGACCUGUACCUACAUAUGGACCUCCCAAACACUGAUACUGUUGUACUAUGGCUUUCUGCUCUACUCAGUUGUUUUUAAGUUUUUAAAAUUGUACGUUUCUUACUCCCGGAUAAAAUUGCAUAUAAUUUCUGCCUCGAAAUCAUAUAUUAACGUUUGGUUGGCCAAAAAUUAAUCUAUUUUAUUUUGAAAUGUGUUUAAAAGUUUAAACUGAAUUAACUUUUCAGGGAGGCUAGUCUAUAUGUCAACAACUCUCUUGGUGAAAAAACGACUUCCUCAGAUCUAGACGACUUCUUCGUUUCUUCACUUUCAUUGAAUGACCUUUUGUUGUUUUGUUUGUGUUGUGCAUCUCUAGUAAUUCACUUGUUACGUUCUUAUCGUAAAAUCCUGUCAAUAGCUUGUAGACUUCUGUCAUGUCACCUCUCAAACGCAUGAGAAACGGAGGGUUUUGAAGCUUGAGUUUUCGCAGACGUUCAUGAUAUGACAAGUUUCUCAUUGUAGGCACCAUUUGGUCGCUCUCUUAUGCACAUUUUUGAUACUAGAGAUGUCAGCCUUCAAAUCUAAUCAACAUAUAUAACUCGGAUUUCGUUAUACUUCAUACGAGUUCUAUAUUUUAAUUAGAUUUGACAGCCUUUCUAAAGGUUUACCAUACACUGUUUGCAUACUUCAAAUUAGGUCUUACAUGUGCCUUAAAUAGUAACGUAAAUGUGCGAUAGGUGGACAAAGAAACUGCAAUCGAGUCUUAAAUCUGAUUAGCUGUAUUAACUUGAUUUUGAAUGUGAUUAGCAAACUACACUCAUGUCAAUAAUUACUCCAAUAUCUUUCUCUAUUUCAACAAUUCCAAGCUUAGUGCGACCGUCUUCAUAUUAUUUCAUUAUAUAGAUUGGAGGUUUGAACAUACACCUAUCAAUAAAAAAAAAAAAAACCUUCCAGAUUAACCCCUGACAAAACAAAUGAAUUGCCGUUUGAUGAAAUUCUCAAUACAUUUUUCAAUAAAUUAUGAAAAUAUGGACUCACCCACCAUAUGUUUUAAUUCAUCAAGAUGAUUGAGAGGUUUGAAAGCAACACAAUAUAUUUUUUGUACAUGUAGUAUUGGUGCAAGUUUUUAAUAUAUUUUCUUUGGAAAUAUUUUCGCUCUCAAUAGCCAAAAUAUAAACAUGCAAUCAAUUACAUUUUUUUCCGUUUCAGAGCAAAAAAUGUUACAUUCCCGAUUACAUCAAUUCCUUCAUAAUUCACGGACUAUGGUAAGCAAAACAUUUAAUAGAUUCCACUAAGGAUAAUACUAUCAGUGUAAUAAAUGUACGCAAAAUCUUUAGAACUGCCAUGUAUUAUAGAAAUAGUUUUGUUGGCAUUCUUAUACAUAUCAUGGUAUGCUUUUUUUCUUAGCGUUUAUAAAGGCAACUGUAGUAUGCCGCUUUUCAAACGGCCGGGUUACAAAUUAAAACCGAGGUAUAAAACAUAAACUAUAAAAGUGGAACAAUGAAACAACAGAAAAACUAAUCUGCACCAAAAAUAAGCGCAAAUGCAACAUACAUAGAAACGAAACACUUAGUAUCAUAUAACAGCUGCCAUAUUCAUGACUUGGUACAGGAAAAAAAUGGUGGGUUAAAUUGCCAAAACAUCCCGCUGAUAUGGUAAUAUUAAUAAUACCGGUAAAAUGACAUCAUAUCGUGACAGGGAUACAGUAAAAAAAGAACACUCAGGACAGAAAAAAAUACUAGCAAUAAAAAAAUUAAAACCUUUGACAUAUGAUUGAAAUAAUGGAAAUGCUAUGAUAGAUAUCAUGAGCCAUGUAGAUUAACUAUUUCGUCUAGAUUGUCUCCUCGUUAAACUUCAGCUUACAGCUUUUGUACAUAAAAAAGGAUGGUUUUAAUGGCAAUAUUUGUUCAUGAGAAUGAAUUAUCUCUUUGUUUCAUUGAUAAUGUAUUAUUUUGUUGCCUUGUUGCCAUACCCUUCUUCAAAAUCGUAAAUCAGCAUCUGAUGAAAAGCACAUUGAGGACCAAGGAUUUUCCUUCAAAGAUGGCAAGCAUACAUACUGAAAUGUCUUUAUAUGACACCAAAUAACAUCUUCUUCUUUCUCAAAUGUUUAAGCAACCAAUAAACAAUCAAUCGAUCAAUCACAAAAGGUAGGAUACAGUCAACUUUUUUUAAUUUCAGGCCUUCUUCGGGAAAAACGGAAGGUCCGAAGAAUUGUUCAUCAGUUCCUUUCGAUAUUAACAAGAUAAAGGUAACGAUUACUCUUAUUCUACGUCCGGUAACAGAAAGUCUGUAUAUGUGGAGUCAUUUGUUAAUCUGAAUAUCAAACUUAUGCAAUUUCAAUGAAUUUGUCACCUGUAAAUGGGUUAAGAUUACUAAAAUUAAUCUUAUGUUGGUCUCAACAUACUAAGAUAUUUAAAAACCACGCAACCUGUAAUUUCAAAUCAAAUUGUGUAAUAAAUGCACAGUAUCUUAGACAGGUAUAUUAUUUCGUGCUUUGUGCAGACCGGAUGAUUCUAAUAAACCCUUGCCAACUGAUAUUUACUUUUUUCUUUUGUUGUGUUGUUACACGAGAGGAACGUUUUGAGCUCACAUCUCAUAUGAUAAACCUCCGCCACUUUCUUUGUGAAUAAGGAGAGGAGUGUGGUAUAAUGUGUUUGUUCCAAACAAGGAACUGAUAAUGUACAGACUGUCAGUGUUUAUUGAUUUCAUUUAUCGUUGCAAAUAAAAUGGGACGUGUUUUGGUAUCUUUUAUUCAAUUGAAGUCAGUUUCUUAGCGUAAUUUUCUGUAGUUCUAUUUAAUGGAAACAUUCCGGAUUAAACUGCGUUUUAUUAAAAUAAAGUAAGAUUUCUGCAAUUAAAGGGGAACGAUAAGUGCCCAUUAGUGCCAAUAUGAAUAUCUUCAUACAGUUUGUCAAGGAGAAAAUUUACUUUUUUAUAUUAUUUCAUAAAAUUUCAAGCUAGCUAUAAGUAUCUACUGUAUAUUCAUUUUCACAUUUAGAAAGUGAGCUUUUGAAUGGAAGCAGGAAAAAUAUUUACCAAAACAAUUCGUAAUACCAUACCUUUAAAAAACUCCACCUGUUUGGUCAAGUACUCUUUGAAAUAAAUGGUUUAUAUAAUUGUUUUAAAUAAAGAAAGGAUAAAGAGUCACGAUUACAUGUACAAUACGUUCAACUCUUGUUUGUAGAAUCUUACAGAUGAAUUACUGCAUGCUUGGCCAAAUAUUUACAGCAGUACUGGUCGUUAUGAUUUCUGGUAAGAUAUUUAUUAUUAUUAUGAUCAUUGAUCAAUAACUAUUGAAUAAUGUUUAUCUAUAUUAUUAUACUUGAUACAGUAAUAACAGUUGGUAUCGUACUAUUUCUGGCAAAUGACGUUACAUUGCGGUUUUAUUUCUUAGUAGGUAAUAAAUAAUCAUACAGAAAGUUUACUCAUAUUCAGAUAAAAGCCAUGAUUUUUGCUCCUUAAAAGAGUUAGAAUUGGAAAAAAAAUUACCAGUUCAACUGCCAUAGGUCAGAUCAUAAGAAAAUGGAAAAGUUGGAACCAUCUACCGUUGCUAAGUUUCAAAAUCCGUUAAUUUGUGUGUUCUCUGUUACACAAACACAGUCAUCCUAUUGUGAUUUUGUUCUAUUGAAUAUAUAGAAAAAAAAACGAAGGAUAUGGGGUAUCUAUCCAUGGCAAAAAUUAGUACAUAGCAAAAACCACAAGAAAAAAACCAAAUGAACAAGCGCCCUAAUUGCUAUUUUACAUACCAAAGUCAGAGUGAGGCCUUCAAAACUGAGCACACUCCAAGUCAGAGUGAGGCCUUCAAAACUAAGCACACAUCAAAAACUUUAAGUCAGAGUAAAGCCUUCAGAACGGAGCAAAAAAUCCCGAACCUCACACAUUGUCGGUUUAUCUUCUGGUUUCUGUUCGUCUGUCAUGAUAACACUUGUAGACAACAGAAAAUUAUUUAAUCAUUAUGUUGAACCUUUAAUAUCAACUGUAUAAAAAAGAAGAUAUGGUAUGAUUGCCAAUGAGACAACUAUCCACAAAAGACCAAAAUGACACCGACAUUAACAACUAUAGGUCACCGUACGGCCUUCAACAAUGAGCAAAGCCCAUACCGCAUAGUCAGCUAUAAAAGGCCCCGAUAAGACAAUGUAAAACAAUUCAAACGAGCAAACUAACGGCCUUAUUUAUAUAAAAAAAAAUGAACGAAAAUCAAAUAUGUAACACAUAAACAAACGACAACCACUGAAUUACAGGCUCCUGACUUGGGACAGGCACAUACAUAAAUAAUGUGGCGGGGUAAAACAUGUUAGCGGGAUCCCAACCCUGUGUCAUUCUUUAUUUUUUUAAAUCUUGUUUUUUAUUAAGACAAAACCCCCAUUAAAUAUUACAUUUGUAUGUACACAACAUUUGAUUUUGUAUGGAUACAGGAAACACGAAUGGGACACACAUGGAACAUGUGCUUUAAGUCUAAACACAACUGGCACAGAGUAUUUGUUCUUUAGGAAAACACUCGACUUAAUGAAAAUAUACAAUGCUUCAAGGUAAGUUUUAAACUGAGUAAUAUAAAAUCCAUCACAGAAAAGUUUCCUAUGUCAGACGAAGAAAAUACAAAUGAGACAAGAUAUUUUCAAGGAGAGAAAUUUGCGCAAGUAGAUAAAAAAUCUUAUAAUCAUAUAAUAUAAAUAUAAUUGUAAUAGAGUAUGUGGUAUCUUGUGGUAUCAACUGACCGGUGCUACUUUCAAAGUUUCGUUGUCACACAUCCUUAAAGAUGGUUCGUAGUAUUAUUUUGGAAUUAAAAGGACGUUCAAUACAAUUAAAAUCACAAUGUAAAGAAAAAUACUAUGUUAUUUUAGAUUCCUUGAUAGAAAAGUUUUAGAUGCAAAAAGUUGCGAAUUUGCAUGCAUAUCUAAGACGUGACCAUGUUUCAAUUUUUUGCAGUUGAUGAAUUCGAACGAUAUAAAAUGUAGUUGAAUCGGAAAAAACAUUUCGUAUAAAAUGCCAAUUUGUACAAAUGAAGUCGAAAUAGCAAUUGAAGCAAAAAAUACUAUAUACAAUAUGAUCAAAUUGAGUGUUGUGUUAUUGCUUAUUUUUUUCAUUUUUUUUAAUAGUUUGGUAGUCACAAGUAGCUCAUUAAAAUGACUAUUUGUAUAAUUAAGCAUACACAAUAUUAUUUAUAAAAUUCAAACACUUUCUUUCGUAUAGCAUCAAUUAAACAAAAAAGUAUAAGUCGUGGAAAAAAAUGACAUUAUAAUUGAUGUGCAAAUAUCCAUUACAUUAUAGGUAUCUCAGUAAAAUGAACAUUAUUCCAAGUGACACACCUUAUGUUGUAAGUAUCAUAUUUACUUAUACGAUGUGAAAAUAACACAGACAUAUUCACCACAAUUUGGUAUUCAUGAUUAUUUUGACCUCGAAAUAAUAUAUAUUUUUGUGGAAUUGCACAUUUUAUAGACUUGAAUUGGUGUGAUAAAUUCUAUUUUCGAUAAUAGGUGGAAAUUUUCCUUGUUGCUCGAUAAUAUCACUAAAUCAGGACCCCACUACUUUGGUACGGACAUGAUUGCUUUUAAUGAAUUUUGAAGUGACAAAACACAUGGACUCAUUUGAAAUUUAAGGCAAUACCUCCUCCAUGCAUUACUCUGAUUCCUUUUCUGGAUUUGUUGUACACUUUUUUUUUCGUUUGCAGUAUAUAAGCUCCUGACAUUUUUGUUUUUGGUUUUGGACCUACAGAUAUUUGAUCCUCGAGCUUCGAAGAAGAAAAUCCCAUUAUUCAUUGAAAUGCAUGUGGGGCGUAGGUAUUGAAACAGCUGCCUUGAAAUGUUCUAGGAUAAGCAACAAUCCCGAAAAAGGAAACUCAAGAUUGUAUCAACUGAGAAAUAUAUUGCUUUGCUGCUAUAAUUUUGAAACAUGACUUGAACAUGUUGAAAGGUUUACAACAGGAAUUAGAAUUAGUGUUUUACUGGUCUCGUACGGUUAAGUUUUCAACUGACUUCAAUUGACAGUUUUAGUUGGAAGUCAAGUAAAGUAUGAAAUAAAAUUCCGAGCUCCAUGGACAAUCCUGUAGUCCCUCAAUAUAUGGCAAAAUCCAAAGCUCAAACACAUCAAACAAAAUAGCAUCAUAUAGUGAUGCCUCUUUAGUUUCUGUCAAAUUCAAGAUUUAAGAGAGAAGAUUUCUAAUUUCACGAAGCGUUUUGUUAAGGUUUAAAACGCAGAACGGGAUAAUAUAUAUAUAGACUGUUACUGAAAGAAAUUGUUUUAUAGAAAUAAUGCAUUACAAUAAAUGAUGUGAUAGGGCCACGAUGAAGAACCUCAGUACUUUGAGCGAAAGGAGAUGGGUCUCAUUAGCUUUUACCCUAGGUUUAUUUUAAGAAGAACUAUUUAUAUAACUCACCCAAAUAGAUUCUCUCAUGGAAAUCGAGCAACAUAAAAGAGUCCUACAGUUUUAUCAGUUUAUCAAUAAAUCAUUAUCAUAGUCCCAGAAAUGGAUAUCAAAAUUCAACAUCUGGUUAAAGUUUACCUAUCUUGAAAUGAUUCAACAAAUGUCACAUUCAUUUAUGUUUUACUAUUAUCCUGUUAUGUUCUUUUCCUUACAGACUAAAACAGUUCAAAGUGUCAUUCAAAAGGCACUCGGAGUAAUGCCAAAUUUACAGUGUUACAGAUAUAAGGUAAUAAUAAUCAAUGUUAAAAUCUUCAGGUUUUUUUUAAUUGUAGUUCCCUAAAUUGCAAGUAAUUUGAUGAAAACAUAACAGAAGGUACUAUUGAAAAUGGAUGAUUGACUAAUUAAAUUGAAACGCUUCGAAUUAAUAUGUUGCUAUUCACACAUUUUCUAAUUGUAUUUUCACAGUGUACAUCAAUAAAUGUGUUUGUUUUAAAUUUCAGUCAGAUUACUUACUGGCAGAAAUAAGGAUAUGUAUGGACAAACGGUUUAAACUUAUCGAAUGCCCUACAAGUGACUCGACUUUAUACUGGAGAAGACGGGCUGAAACUGAACCUUGUAGAAGAGGAAAGAUAUAUUUUCCUGAGAUUAAAAGGAAUUAAUCAUAAAAGAGAACAACAAAUAUAUGAAUGUUUAUGCAUAGGGUACACGAUUUGUGGCUGGUACAACGUAGCUCAUGUUUACCUUGGAAGUAAUAAGCAUGAUGAAUUAUAGCUAACAUGCAAUUAAUAUGAUUUUCCAGUUUUGGGUUGUAAUAACUAACAAUGAAGUUAUCUUUAUAUAUAUAGAUAUAGUUUUUUGACAGUAUUAUGAUCCUCUCACACAAGUAUAGUUGUGUAAAUUUAAAAAAGGCAAAACCCUUGAAUUUUAAAGUUUGCUCAGCCAGAACAAUGCUACUGGUAUACUGAUUUUAUUUAAAAUGUAUGCAAAUUUCCAAAAAAAAUCUUCUAUUGUUAACAUUUUAAAAAUUAAAAUUUCCCCAUCUACUUUUUUAUGAAAUUAUUUUGUUGUUCUUUUUAGCUUUUCAUAGGGCAUAUAAGAAUCUUGUAUUUUUUUAUUCGUAAUUUUAUUAUAUUAAAUCGCCGUGGUCGAAUUUCCCAGCAGCUCUAAAUAGUAAUAAGGCUGGCAUACAAUUCAUUAAUGUCAAGGAAAUUAUUGUCAUUCCCAACACACCCGCCAUAAAUGAACACAUCACACAUUCCUGAUCGGUACGAAUAUCGCGGGUAAUAUCUCCUACAAUGCCCUGGUUUCGUCUGUAAAGAAAAGAACGUUAUGAUAAAGAGUCAUUUGGCAUAAUCGAUAUUUUCCUAAAAAUAACGCAAGAUGAUAAUGCUUUUCACAGAAAGAGCCCAAAUCAAUUAACACAUCAUAGAUACAUACCAGGAGUAACAUGUGUACGACUGAUGCGAUAUUUGUUCACAGAAGACUCAAAAGUGACUGUUGAAAAAAAUGAGUUGAAAUGGCCAAAAUAAAUUACGAAGUUGAAGAGAAUAAAAAACAAAUUUUCGAUUUGUUUUGCCAAAUACAUUUUUGUGUCUAUUUCUGGUUCAAAAAUUAUUUAGUUAUCAAGACCACGAAGAUUGUCUGUCGACUGCUUAUAGAAGUAAUUACUUAAUGAUUAUUCUAUGAUUAUCUUUACUCAAUUUUAGCAUCUAGCUUCUGCAAAAACUAUGAUGAAUAAAAAAAAAUGUUAAUAGACCUGAUCUACGAAUGAUUCAACACGACAAAAAUGUCAUUCAACUCCUUAUAUGAAUUAUUGUCCUUAAAUGACAAUUUUUACAUUUUCGUGUGGUUUGGGUUACAACAAUAGAAGAUAAAGAGAACCUGCGCAGAAAAAAAUAUCAGCUAGACAUUUCUAACAAACAGGUCAAAAGCCGCAACUGAAAGUCCAUUUCGAAAAAUUAUU
rnacentral:lncRNA from 1 species